rnacentral:tRNA from 1 species
GCCGAAGUGGCGGAAUUGGUAGACGCGCUAGGUUCAGGACUUAGUAGGUGUAAGCCUGUGCGGGUUCGAGUCCCGCCUUCGGCACCA